AUUUGACUCAACGCGGGGAAUCUUACCGGGUCCGGACACACUGAGGAGUUGUCUUUCCCUCCCUUCGGGGUGGGAUUACAAAAGAUAACAGAUCUUUCAUGAUCAUGUGAUGGGUGGUGCAUGGCCGUUCUUAGUUCGUGGAGUGAUCUGUCUGCUUAAUUGCGUUUCAAAUUUUAUAUUUGUUAACAUGCGAGUCUUCAAUGACGGCCGCUCCACCUUAUAGACAUUAUAUGAUAUGCACAUUUGUGUAUUUGAUUAUAACUUGUCUGGAGUCUGGCUCGAUUUUUUUGACUCAAUUGAACGCAACGGACGUGAUUGCAAGUCCUUGUUGAACAAAUUAUAUAUAUACUACUUCAUCAUUAGUAUAUAUAGUUCGCUUCUCAUGUCGUAGCAGUCAAACGGGCGGGCGUCUUAAUUGGCGCGGUCACGAGGCUUAAUAUGCUGCGGCAGGGAAAACUUGGGCGACCGCUGUAAUACUUCUCUCUUAAACCAGAGGAAGAUUGCGGCAAUAACAGG
rnacentral:rRNA from 1 species